UACGUAGGGGGCUAGCGUUGUCCGGAUUUAUUGGGCGUAAAGAGCGUGUAGGCGGCCUGACAGGUCUGCUGUGAAAACUCGAGGCUCAACCUCGAGAUGUCGGCGGAAACCGGUCUGGCUAGAGUCCGGAAGAGGAGAGUGGAAUUCCUGGUGUAGCGGUGAAAUGCGCAGAUAUCAGGAAGAACACCUAUGGCGAAGGCAGCUCUCUGGGACGGUACUGACGCUGAGACGCGAAAGCGUGGGGAGCGAACAGG
rnacentral:rRNA from 1 species